CUAAACGAUUUUGGGUUAAAUCCUUGGAAAUGUAUAAUGCUUUUAGGUCAAGUUGUACUGCACUCCUCCGAGUCAUAUUAGGUCUGCCCCUUUCUUUUCUUUCUUUCUGUUUACACAACCUGGAAAAAUUAACAGUAACUGGGUUUUGGAUUCUUAGAUCUAUUUAUAGCAAACAAUCUAAUAGAAAAAGGUCUUGGACAUAAAUCCUAAUGAAGUAAGGUCUUGAACAUAAAUCUUAAUGGAAUGAGGUUUUGACCCUUCUCAAUAAAGUCUACCAUAAUCAAAAGAUUAAAAAAUUUCAAUUCAAUAGGAUUGGGUUUGGACUAUUCUGAAUUAAAAUUCUUCUCCUUGCAUCAAUUCCUCUGGGAUGGAGAGAACUUUGCUUCAACAAGAAAACUUGAAUUUGUUGGUCAUAAAUGGCUGGAUCAAUUUGCCUCCGAUCUUCUUCACCAGAAAUCUAACUGCUUUUUGAAAAUGGUUUUCCUUACAAGUUGAUGAGAAAUCUUCAAUAUGGAUUCCCUAUUUGUGAACUAACUUCAUAUCCAGAAUUUCUUCAACCACCUCUCUAGGCUUCCUUGGUAGUUGCCUAGAUGGUUAACCCAAUCUUUAGUCAUGGGCUCAUCAUCAUCUCCAUCAAAUCUAUGAAAAUCAAAGAGGUCCACUAAAGAUUCGUUAGAACUUUUUUCUUCAAAAUUUUGCAUGGAUGAAUCUUCCUUGACUUAAGCUUAUGAUAAGUUCCCUUUGGAAACAUCCCUUAACUGCACCAUAACUUGAUCACCUUUCACAAAUUCCUUUGUAUCUUCAAUGUUGAUUAACAUCGUCCUCAUAAGACUCAUUGUUAGAUUUAAUGGUAGCAUGUACCUUAUAAAUUCUACUUAAAUUGAUAGACAAAAGGCUUGAGCACGUGUCUUUAUAUCCAUGAGCAGCUCCAAGCUGAGUUUUCCUAAUUGUGUGAUUUACUGAAUCAUAAUAUGCAAGUUCAGUAUGAUAAAGAUGAUAGAUGGGAUUUAUCAUUGUGCAUAUUUUCUGUCAGCCUUAGCACUAUGCUAAUGUCACAUCAUUUUUUGAUGAAAACAAUUAGGCUGUGUUGUCAUUAUUGUUUUCCCUUUUUAUCAUAUUAGGAGAAAUGAGGAUGGGCGUUGGUGCAAUGUCAAGGUUGCACCAUUGUGUUUUACAGGUCAAGGGUAAACCAUGCAAAUAGCCUCCUUGCAAUGCAAGGGGAAGGCUGUGUACAUUUGACCCUCUUUAGAGCUCUAAUGUCGGAAAGUCCUUGUGCAUGAGGAAACCUAUUUAUUUGGAGAAAUGAAAUAAUGCUGAUCUUUUCAUUAGUAUCUCAUUUUGGGGGAUUUUAUAUUGAAAAUGUCUCAAUUCGAAUAUCCCAUGCCUAUUUAUAUUCCUAAUGUAAUGAUUCUUCAUCAAAGCCCAAGCUCUUAUAUAGAAUUGUCAUUUUCUUUAGAAAUUGAUCUUAGCAUAAGAAACUUCUCAAUAAGGAUCGCUGUCGACCAGCACCAUGGCUGAAAAAAAAAAAUAUUGGCGAUUGGAUUCUAUCUAAUAUGGCAUUAAUGUUGGAGUGUUUUCUUUUCCUUUAUUUGCUCAAGUUAUGAGCUGAUCCUUUUUAGUCAUUAUUUAAUAACAUUUCUUUAUGUUGUCUAUUCUUCUUCCCAGAGAUUUUAUGAGUUAUUAGAUCUGGUCUCAAUAAUUCUUGGAAGUUAUAUUGGUUGUUCAUUCCUGUUUUUCUUGAAGGAUUAUAUCUGCACACUGUUACUGAGACAAAGCUUUUAGUGGAUACUUCGAGGGGGGAAACUCUAAAGAUUAAUGUAAUCAUCCUUUUUCCUUGUGCAGUUUGAUGUUGAAAUUUUUGUUCGUCAUCCUUGUUUUUGUUUGAAUUUGCAGUUUGAUGUCACUUUUCCUUCAAUUCCAUGUACAUUGCUCAGUCUUGAUGCCAUGGAUAUCAUGGGAGAGCAGCAUUUUGAUAUAAGACAUAAUAUAAGUAAGAAGAGAAUUAAUGUUCAUGGUGAUGUAAUAGAAGUCAGGCGUGAUGGGAUUGGUGCACCAAAAGUUGAAAAGCCUUUGCAAAAGCAUGGUGGCAGACUUGAACACAAUGAAAUUUAUUGUGGCUCAUGCUAUGGUGCAGAAAUGUCAGAUGAUGAUUGUUGCAACUCAUGUGAACAAGUUCGUGAAGCAUAUAAGAAAAAAGGGUGGGCAUUGACUGGUACGCAUUUGAUUGACCAGGGACGUGUUCUUAAAUUGGCUAUUUGGCUUACAUGGAGCAAACAUCAUCAUAAAGAGGGAAUAAUACACAUGCCACAAUAAUGAAUGCUAUUUAAAAUCUUCUCCAAAAGAAGAAAGAAAAGGAAGAAGAAAGCAAGGAGGAGCCAUUUUCAGCCCAUGCAAGCAAUUUCUGUGAGUUUGACGCGGGUGAGCUCCAGUUUUGAUGCAGCCGCUUCAAUCCAAAAGAAAAAAAAGAUAACAGGGCAAACGAAGGGCAAGUCUGUAUCUGCAGUUUCUGUUCUGAAUUGUGUAUUGGUGGGCCAUAACUAGAGAGUAGGUAGAGUGUGAUGAAUGACCCAUUAAAAUUUUAGCUUGUGCCAAAAUGAGUUAUCAUUCAUGGGUGAAGAUAUCGAGCCACUUAAGGAAGUAUUAUCCUGGACCUGCUGGAACAUCAAUUUUUGGUGUGUGACACAAAUUGUUGCAUUGUUUCUUAAACGAUUGUGAUAAAAUUCUAUGCCUCCAUUUCUAUAAUAUUGUUGUUUUGCAUAAUAUUGUUGUUUUGCAUUACUCUUGGAUGUUCAUAAACUGAAAUAGUAGUUAAAACUUUACAGAGCUUCAUAAAUUGUGCAAAAUUAAAUGCAUUUCUUUGUUAUGAAAAUUUUCUGCUAUUUUUAUGGUCAGGUAGGCCUGGGAAAAUUGUUUACCAUGUGUGAGCCUUGUAUUGUAAUUGUAUUGAGUUUUUUCAUGUCCCUUUUGGUUUCAGUGUAUGAGGGAAGAAUUUUUCCAAAGGGUCAUAGAUGAAGAAGGUGAAGGAUGUAAUAUAUAUGGAUCUCUGGAAGUAAAUAAAGUGGCUGGAAAUUUUCAUUUUGUACUUGGGAAAAGCCUUCAUCACUCAAAUGUCCAUGUGAAAGAUUUGCUGUCUGUUAAAUCGUAUAGUUAUAAUAUAAGUCACAGGAUCAAUAGACUAGCUUUUGGUGACUACUUUCCUGGUGUGGUGAAUCCCCUGGAUGGGUAAUUGUUUCUUUCUUCUCUUGCAUAGCUAUUUUCACUUGAAAUUCCCAAAGUUAUUUUAUUUUUGGCUUCUUCUUCAUAAUAAGUUAAAUUAUAAGCUCAUAUAAUACAUGCUUGUGAAAGUGCUAAAAUUGAUAUUGCAUGCAUGCAUGUGAUUAUAUGUGAUUGAUAUUUUGGAUUUUCCCUUAUUACUGCAAGCUUCCUUUAUAGUUCAAUCAAUGUAUGCUGCUAAUUGAUUUCAUUAUGUCCUUUGUUCUGUAGAACUUUGAUAAAUUAUCUGUCAUUUUUUCAGGGUACAUUGGGAGCAUGAAACACCAAAUGGCAUUCACCAGUACUUCCUCAAGGUCAGUAUUAUCAAGGCAUUGAGUUUACGACUCUAGGGUAGAUACUCUGUGUGUCCUUUGGUGCUACCGAUCUUAAUUUUUGACACUGGGAUUUGGAAAAUCAUCCAAAGUCGUGGAUGCCUAUUUGACUUUUUGUCUAAAUGCAACAAAAAUAAAAUAUGGUAUCUCAGAAUUUCAAUUAUAUCUAUUUAAAUAAUGUCUUUUGUUAUUGCAUUGCUGUGUUCAUUACAAGCAUUAAUUAUUUGGAUUUCUCAGUUUGUGUUGUUCAUAAGUUUUGGCAUAUAAAAAAUGUAUUAUUUCUGUUUCCUGGAAGAAAAUUGGUUAAUGGGCACACUAAUAAUGCAAUAAUGUUAAAAUACAAAGUAUUUGAAGAUCUGUGUGUAUGUUUGUGACUGAGUAUGGAGCUUUGCCAGUCAGCAUCUGCAAUGUUCUCACCGUUAAGUUUGGAUGUUACUGGCAAAUGUUUAGACAGAUUUACUAAAAAUUUUAACUUUUCAGGUGGUCCCAACAAUAUACACUGAUAUCAGAGGCCACACUGUUAGUUCAAACCAGGUAGUACUAAAACCUCUAAAGAUGACAGGUCUAUUAGUUUAUCUUAUUCAUGGGAUCAUAUGCUAAGAGGCACUAGCAUGGGAAUUUUACAGUACUCUGUAACAGAGCAUUACAAGAAAUCAGAAUCUGGUCACUUUGACCCUCCUGGAGUUUUCUUCUUUUAUGACUUUUCUCCAAUUAAGGUGACUUUUAAAGAGGAGCAUAUUUCAUUUUUACACUUCAUGACCAAUAUUUGCGCAGUAUUUGGAGGUAAUCUUUCUUGCUCAUUCUCCUGGGCCUCCAUGAAAAUGAUUGUUCGAUAAUUUAAAGACAAGCCUAUUUGAUCUUGUUUUGUUAUCUCUUAAUAUCAAAAAAUCCAGGUUUACUAUUCUCUUUGGAUUUCUGUAAUUAAGAGGCUGUUACUCUUUUUUAGGUAUUUUCACAAUUGCUGGAAUAAUAGAUUCAUUUGUGUAUCAUAGUCAAAGAGCAAUCAAGAAAAAAGCAGAAAUUGGCAAGUACAGAUGAUAUGCCGGGUUGACAUUUUCGGCGGGAUGUUUUUGGGAUGAUGGAAAUCAUUGAAAUUGUUUCUUCUCAAUAGUCACCAAUCUCUUCACAUUAUUCACUCUUGUUUCCAGUCAGUUUACCUUUGUAGGCUGUAGAUGUCAGAAUAUGAACCCAGCUCCUG
rnacentral:misc_RNA from 1 species